CACAACUGAAUAGGCUCCUCAAGGGCGGUCGGCUCAUCCCCUCAUGAAAGGGGGUGAGAUCGGUAUGAUCAUUUUCGGCAUGUUGACUGUACUCCUGGCCAUACUCAACCUGACAAAAAAGAAAUAGACCUCCCUUGAGCUUGGCGGCUUAGGAGAUCUAUUUCUUAGUAACCUGAGUCGACACCCUUGAUGGGUAUCAGUUGUGCAAACGACCGUAGGUGUUUCCAGCACCUGCG
rnacentral:sRNA from 1 species